rnacentral:rRNA from 1 species
GACGAACGCUGGCGGCGUGCCUAAUACAUGCAAGUAGAACGCACAGUUUAUACCGUAGCUUGCUACACCAUAGACUGUGAGUUGCGAACGGGUGAGUAACGCGUAGGUAACCUGCCUGGUAGCGGGGGAUAACUAUUGGAAACGAUAGCUAAUACCGCAUAAUAUUAAUUAUUGCAUGAUAAUUAAUUGAAAGGUGCAAUUGCACCACUACCAGAUGGACCUGCGUUGUAUUAGCUAGUAGGUGAGGUAACGGCUCACCUAGGCGACGAUACAUAGCCGACCUGAGAGGGUGAUCGGCAACACUGGGACUGAGACACGGCCCAGACUCCUACGGGAGGCAGCAGUAGGGAAUCUUCGGCAAUGGACGAAAGUCUGACCGAGCAACGCCGCGUGAGUGAAGAAGGUUUUCGGAUCGUAAAGCUCUGUUGUAAGAGAAGAACGGGUGUGAGAGUGGAAAGUUCACACUGUGACGGUAUCUUACCAGAAAGGGACGGCUAACUACGUG